rnacentral:rRNA from 1 species
AGAGUUUGAUCAUGGCUCAGAACGAACGUUGGCGGCGUGGAUUAGGCAUGCAAGUCGAACGAAUCCCAGCCCCGUAGCAAUACGGGGCUGGGGGAAGUGGCGAAAGGGGCAGUAAGGCGUGGCUAACCUACCCCGGGGACGGGCAUAGCCCUCCUAACGGAGGGGUAAUUCCCGGCGAUCCGGCCGAGGGGCAUCCCCCGGCCGGGAAACGAAUCUCGCCUCGGGAGGGGGUCACGUGCUAUUAGCUGGUUGGCGGGGUAACGGCCCACCAAGGCUUAGAUGGCUAGCGGGUGUGCGAGCACGACCCGCGCCACUGGCACUGCGACACUGGCCAGACUCCUACGGGAGGCUGCAGUCGAGGAUCUUCGGCAAUGGGCGCAAGCCUGACCGAGCGACGCCGCGUGGGCGACGAAGGCCUUCGGGUUGUAAAGCCCUGUCGAGGGGGAGGAAAGCCGCAAGGCCUGACCGACCCCUGGAGGAAGCACGGGCUAAGUUCGUGCCAGCAGCCGCGGUAAGACGAACCGUGCGAACGUUGUUCGGAAUCACUGGGCUUAAAGGGCGCGUAGGCGGCCGACCAAGUCGGGGGUGAAAGCUUUCGGCUCAACCGGAAAAGUGCCCCCGAUACUGGCCGGCUCGAGGGGGAUAGGGGCGGACGGAACUUCCGGUGGAGCGGUGAAAUGCGUUGAUAUCGGAAGGAACGCCGGUGGCGAAAGCGGUCCGCUGGGUCCCUACUGACGCUGAGGCGCGAAAGCCAGGGGAGCAAACGGGAUUAGAUACCCCCGUAGUCC